rnacentral:rRNA from 1 species
UACGGAGGGUGCGAGCGUUGUCCGGAUUCAUUGGGCGUAAAGAGCUCGUAGGCGGCUUGGCAAGUCGGAUGUGAAAACUCCAGGCUCAACCUGGAGCCGCCAUUCGAUACUGCUAUGGCUAGAGUCCGGUAGGGGAGUGUGGAAUUCCCGGUGUAGCGGUGAAAUGCGCAGAUAUCGGGAGGAACACCGAUGGCGAAGGCAGCACUCUGGACCGGUACUGACGCUGAGGAGCGAAAGCGUGGGGAUCAAACAGG